rnacentral:rRNA from 1 species
GACGAACGCUGGCGGCGUGCUUAACACAUGCAAGUCGAACGGAAAGGCCCUGCUUGCAGGGUACUCGAGUGGCGAACGGGUGAGUAACACGUGGGUGAUCUGCCCUGCACUUCGGGAUAAGCCUGGGAAACUGGGCCUAAUACCGGAUAGGAGCCAUUUUUAGUGUGAUGGUUGGAAAGUUUUUUCGGUGUAGGAUGAGCUCGCGGCCUAUCAGCUUGUUGGUGGGUAAUGGCCUACCAAGGCGGCGACGGGUAGCCGGCCUGAGAGGGUGGACGGCCACAUUGGGACUGAGAUACGGCCCAGACUCCUACGGGAGGCAGCAGUGGGGAAUAUUGCACAAUGGGCGCAAGCCUGAUGCAGCGACGCCGCGUGGGGGAUGACGGCCUUCGGGUUGUAAACUCCUUUCGCUAGGGACGAAGCUUUUUGUGACGGUACCUAGAGAAGAAGCACCGGCUAACUACGUG